rnacentral:rRNA from 1 species
UACGAGGGGGGCAAGCGUUGUUCGGAAUUAUUGGGCGUAAAGCGCGCGCAGGCGGUCCUUUAAGUCUGAUGUGAAAGCCCACGGCUCAACCGUGGAAACGCCUUCGAAACUGUGGAGCUUGAGGCUGGGAGAGGAGAUCGGAAUUCCUGGUGUAGCGGUGAAAUGCGUAGAUAUCGAGAGGAACACCGGUGGCGAAGGCGGCGAUCUGGACGAUGACUGACGCUGAGACGCGAAAGCGUGGGGAGCAAACAGG